rnacentral:ncRNA from 1 species
CAACCUCAACUCAUAUGGGACUACCCCCUGAAUUUAAGCAUAUUAAUUAGGGGAGGAAAAGAAACUAACAAGGAUUUUCUUAGUAGCGGCGAGCGAAAAGAAAUCAGUUCAGCACUAAGUCACUUUGUCUAUAUGGCAAAUGUGAGAUGCAGUGUAUGGAGCGUCAAUAUUCUAGUAUGAGAAAUUAACGAUUUAAGUCCUUCUUAAAUGAGGCCAUUUACCCAUAGAGGGUGCCAGGCCCGUAUAACGUUAAUGAUUACUAGAUGAUGUUUCCAAAGAGUCGUGUUGCUUGAUAGUGCAGCACUAAGUGGGUGGUAAACUCCAUCUAAAACUAAAUAUAACCAUGAGACCGAUAGUAAACAAGUACCGUGAGGGAAAGUUGAAAAGAACUCUGAAUAGAGAGUUAAAUAGUACGUGAAACUGCUUAGAGGUUAAGCCCGAUGAACCUGAAUAUCCGUUAUGGAAAAUUCAUCAUUAAAGUUAUAAUAUUUAAACAAUAUUAUACAAAUAAUGUGCAUUUUUUCCAUAUAAGGACAUUGUAAUCUAUUAACAUAUUAAAUUUAUCAUAAAAUAUGGCUUAUAGUUUAUUCAAAUUAUUAUGCUUGCAUUUUAACAUAGAAUAAAUGUCAUUAAUUUGAUAAAGUGUUGAUA